UGUUCAGGAUGACUUGAAUGCAAAAGGCCCAGUCUGUCCAUUACACUGCUAUGAAUAAGAGGAACUGCCGACUCCAUAUUUGUAACAACAGUAAAAAAAAAAAAAAAUCCUAGGAAAAAACACCUCUUUUGCAGAAAAAGAAAAAAAACUUUUCAGACGUCCCCUUUUCCAUCAAUCAGGCAGCCCUGAAAAGGGCACAAGUACAACUGCUUUCCCUUGACCUAUUUGUUUCACCUUUAGCAAUACCACUGUUUUUGGAACAACUCAGCACAGACAUGUACUGUGUAGGCAAGCGGUUCUCAGAAAAUGGCAGGGGAAAGAAGGAAAGUUGGGGGAAGGGGAGUUGCAAAAAGGAAGGAGGGCCAGGGAGAAAUCAUAAUAAUGAGAAAAAUGUCACAUUAAAAUUUCAGAAGAGCAUCAGCAGCUGCCUCCGCCUGGAGGCUGAAUGGAUCCAGACAAUAGCUAAGGAAGCAUGUUACAUCUUGUGAGCAUUCCUGUGGUAGAGACAAGCCCGUACAGCCACAGGAAAAUUCCACCUUCUUGCACAUCUCACCUCCCAGGUCUCCAGUGCCUCUGACUGCGCUGUUUAAAAAAAGAAAAAGGAGAAGAAAAAUGCAGGUGUUGCUAAUGUGGCCUCAACCCUUUUGCCUUGUAAUUAGUCUGGGUCCCUCGAGAAGGCUUAGAGUAGUUAGUGCUGCAGCCCCUUUUUGUCUGAGUCAAGGUUGGAGCAUGGAGAGGUAAGCCAGCCUCCUGCCGGGAUAGCACAUUGCAUCUCCAUGUUGCUCCCAUGAGUAAUCCGUGCUUUUGUGAAUGGUUUCAUUGAGCCAUAAGUGCGAGUAAGAACUAGAUGCAUGAGCAAAGGUUUGCUCACUCCCAGCUGCAUCUCAGCCUAUGGGUUUACGUAACAGGAGUCAGCAGGGGUGGAGAAGAGGAGCACAUUUGCAAACAUUUAGGACAUCCACGGAUGUUACAAGAUAAAACUCUGCCUUCUUCUCAAUUGCACAGCAUGUUUGCUACCCUCUGCCUCCUGCCCAAGCUUCUCUGCUGUGUAAAAUACGUGCGUUAUAGUUCUGAUGUUCUGUUCCCGAGCAAAGCACUCAGACAUCACUUGGUCCUUAAUGAAACUUCAUUGUAGAUGGGAGCUUUAUCUCAGUACAGAUUAAGAAGGGCUGAAUCAGGGUCCCAUUACACAUACAGCACAGUGCUUAUGCCUGUUCAUCCUUUCCCAGUGAUAACUGAAGAAAAAUGGUAGACAUCCAUUAAGUAUCAUUUGGAGCUUCCUGCCUGGGGACAUCCCAUUAAAAUAUGCUGCAAUUUGGCAGUGUUGCUUUCUAAUAAAAACAUAACUCCCUGCGUGUCAGGACAGUCUUGAAGGGACAUACAAAUCAGUGUCCUUAACAGUAUUGUCUUCAAGGAAGGUAGAGAACAAGCGAGACCCAGACCCAAAGGUAUCAUCUGGAGAUCACGGUGGGAGCACACGGAGAAGAUUAAGAAGUAAACCUCCCCCCUACACGUACGCCUUUCAUCUGCCGGGACUUCCUUGUCUCUCUUGCUCUGGAGAAGUGAAAGGAGAAAGGAUGCAGUGACAGUAAUUGCAUAGCUGGGCAAAUGUGAACCUAAACCAGGGGGAAGGCCUGAGUCUGAAACCACUUUCAUUAAUCCAUCUCCAUGGACUUCAGCAGUUACCUCUGAUUUACACUGGUGGAAGUGAGGAGGGAAUCAGUCCCUUAGUGACAGAUGCCCAGUCCUUUAAAGAACAGACACUUGGACCAGCAUAGCCCCUACAGCUGUUUCUUUAUGCUUUGCUCUCACUUCAAGUGGAACAAAAGAAACAAAACCAGCUAGAGAAGAUGCUUCCUUUUUCCAUUGCAAAUGUUUCUGUCCAGUGGCUUCUCCCUCUCUGUGCUGAGAGGGCUCCAUGCCUCUCUGCUCCGAGUCACUAGGCAUGCAGGUCUGAAGGAGCUCACAAAGCCGGCUCUGCUGCGGAUAUGUGAUGCAUGUUGCUUCACUCAUGAAAAAUCACCAAGAAAAAUUCACAGCAUCUGCACUCCUGUAACACCUUUCAUCCACUGCGCUCACAGUACCAGGCAGGCAUUCAUCUUCAUUCACCAAGGCCCCGUGUGGUAAAUAUAGCCACACUGCACAUUGGAGGGCAUAAAUCACGUGCCCGGAGGAUGCUCAAGUCCUUACUUUCAGUUCUAACCACAAAAGCACUCCCUUGCAAAAGGAAGGCUCUAGAGAACUACUAAUGCAUGGCAAAUCUUCUAUAUUUCAUGGAACCACAUCCUUAGGCCAGGCAAUGUGAUGAAUAUAUUCACAGUUCUAUUACUGUUAUGACGAUGAUGUGUUAGCAGCAACAUUUAAAUAUUAAAGAUGGGCCAAAGUUUGGAUCCAGAUGUAGAGUAUGGUCCGUGCAGUCUGGGAGUCAAGUCUGGGGUAAAACAGCCCCCAUAACUUUGGUAUACAGCAACUGCAGUGGUGUAAGGGGGAUGUUGUAGCUGUGAUGAUCCAGACAUUAUAUGAGAGGCAAGGAUUUCUUAGCGUAGUAUCUUUUAUUGGACCAACUAUGUUAGUUUUGCACAGGCUUAAGAAGAUGUCACUGUGUUAUCUGGCAAGUACAUAGUUGGUCCAAUAAAAUACAUCACCCCAUGAAAUCCCUGCCUCUAGCAUCAAGCAAUUGGAAAAUUCUGAUCCAGGUUCAAAUGUUAAACCUCCUCUCCAUCCCCAAGUCAGGGCUUUUUUUUCAAUCCCAUCUUUGGCCUGAAAUUGUUAUUGCAGCUUCUAAUAUAACUUUGAUCAAUGUACACUGGAAAAAUCUAUUUCAUUCAUCUCACACCAAAGAACUCGCAUAGAAUUGAAAUUGUUCGUAAGAGCAGACACGCACAAGGAGGAGAAGUUUCAAAAGAGCUCGGCUCCCAGUAAGGGACCAAAUUAAUUGAUCAGAUUAUUCAAGGGAACUCGGGAAGAUUGGUGCGUAUCCGAUACUGAACGGUUUGGAUAAUUCUAGCUGUGAGCAUUACCGUGCCGGUUGUGGGAUACAUGGCACUCCUGAAAAAUCUUGACUUUGUAUAGGAUCAGGGUUCUUGUAGAAAUCUGGCCCCGAUUAUAUGGAGGCCGACAACGUGAAGAUUUCAUCUUGAGCUCUUCUGGAAAUCCCAGCUUUAGGCAUUUUGAUUUGGUCUGCAGAGCAUCCUAACUUCCAGGAAAAGAAGGUAAAGUUAGGGUUGAUGUCACUUUUAGACCAGUGCAAUUCAUUAACUAACUAGGGGAUUUUUAGUUUAGUUUUGUUUUUCGGCUAGGAAGAAAUUGGAUUCUGGAGACUUAGAUGAAUAGACUAGUUAGUUGAUCACUGUGAUGAAAUUAGAACUUGACGGACCUGCUCAUCACUAGAAAAUAAAGAUUUGGUCAAUAUUGAUUCUAUUUAUUUCUUAUGGUGCAGUGAAUCAGGCCUGGAUGCAUUUUUUGACUAGAAUUACUUCAAGUGAAAAGUGUACUUUUGGUGGCUCCAAAAGAUUUCAUGAAUUCAUUUUAAUUUCAUUAAAUUGCUCAGUCCAACAGCAAAAACAGAACAGAAACCUGGAAAAAUUGUCUGAAGUUCAAAGUAUCUCAACAUGGUUUAAAUAAAUUAUUUCAUGUUUUGAUUGAAAA